rnacentral:rRNA from 1 species
UGGGGAAUCUUGCGCAAUGGACGAAAGUCUGACGCAGCGACGCCGCGUGAGUGAUGAAGGCCUUCGGGUUGUAAAGCUCUGUGGGGAGAGAAGAAUUAGUGGAGGCUAAUCACUCCAUGAUGACGGUAUCUCCUUAGCAAGCACCGGCUAACUCUGUGCCAGCAGCCGCGGUAAGACAGAGGGUGCAAACGUUGUUCGGAAUUACUGGGCGUAAAGCGUGUGUAGGCGGCCGCGACAGUCGGAUGUGAAAGCCCUGGGCUCAACUCAGGAAGUGCACCCGAUACUACGUGGCUCGAGUACCGGAGAGGUUGGUGGAAUUCUCGGUGUAGAGGUGAAAUUCGUAGAUAUCGAGAGGAACACCUGUGGCGAAGGCGGCCAACUGGACGAGUACUGACGCUGAGACACGAAAGCGUGGGGAGCAAACAGGAUUAGAUACCCCCGUAGUCC